CUUAUUUUGGCAUCACACAUACUAAAUUGGAAUGAUACAGAGAAGAUUAGCCCGGCCCCUGCACAAAGAUGACACACAAAUGUGUGAAGCAUUACGUAUUUUU